UCCCAGAUAGUCUAGGUGGUUAGGAUAGCUGGCUCUUAUCCAGCAGACCCAGGUUCGAGAUGAUGUAGUAACCGUGAUGCUGGGAG
rnacentral:tRNA from 1 species